rnacentral:lncRNA from 1 species
UUUUCCUAAUUAAUACAACAUAUUUUAAUUCGGAAAAGAGUAAAGGAACAAGCACAAGUAGGAUAUAUAACUUCAAAAUAUAAAAAAUAAAGAAUAUAGCAUAAGUUAAUGUUAUUUUUCCCUGAAAUGGAAGGGAGACAAAGAUAAGAAAACAGUUACAAUAGUUACUUUUAUUACGAAAACGAUAUUAAGCAGUCCAAUGCAACAUGGCAAACUAGCAAAUGUACAUUAUCACUGCGAGUUAUCAAAUUGAAAUUUAAAGUAUUUCUUCCUUCAGCCAGCUACAUCAUUUAGUUUACUCUUAUUACCAUAUGUAGUACUAUAAAUUCAGUUGAAUGUCUUAAGUUCACGUUUAUAUUAGUUCAUUUUGGUUAAACAACCAAUUUUUGUCACUUUUCUGAGAGAGACACUGACCAAUAAGCGAUUACAUUUAAAAAAUAAGUGGUAGCUUAACAUACCAUAAUUACAUGACCAACCAAGCUAACAUACAAUUCUAUGAUUGAAGCUGCAAAUUUUCUUUCACGAUUGAGCAAACUCACAACUACUAUAAUGUACACGACAUUAAGCAACUACACUAGAAAUACUGAAUCAAAAUACGUGUGCCAUUCAGAACUAGCUGUCACAUUGCGUGGGAGAAUUGUCAUAUGGCCUCAUGCAGUAGCUGCAUACUUCCGCAAAAGAUCAAGCAGCUGAUUUUUUCACUAAGAUUCUUGUACUUACUCCGUUCACUAAGGCUCUCUUACUCACUCCUUUCAGCAAACUCCAUACCAGGCUCGGUGUGGUUGAUAUUCACCAACCACCCGCUUGAGGGCAAGUAAGAUGUGUAUUUAUUCACAUUUCACAGCUAGCUGUGCGUGUGUUUUUUCACAGCCAUGUGGUCUCAUGGAGUUGAUACAGCAGCACUGCUAUUUCCCUUUUGCAGCUUUAUUCUUGUAUGUAAAUACUCUUGAGUUCACAUCAAUAAAAAUUAAUGAGAAUGGUUUGUUCAUAUUCACUUAAUUUCUUAUGAAGCACUUCCACAGUGUUCCAUGCUGCCACAAGAAAGGGGAAACACUCUGUUCAGACUUCCAAACUAUUUAAAUUUUAGGCACCAAAUAAAGAUCAUCAAGAUAUUGCCAUUUCUUUUAUAAAUCAUGCAUUAACCAUCAUAAUUGCAACAUCAAAGUCUUUCUUUGAAGCCAAAACCAGAAAUCUAAGUUGUUUGGAGAACAAGAUAUUCAAUUUUUGGUCUCUCAUGUACUAAAUUCAUAGUUGACAGCAUCAAGAAUUUGAGGAAAGUUAUAGUUUUUUUUACUUAAUUAAGUUUCAAAUCUUUCAUAAAUUUGGGUAUUUUUAAUUGAGUCUCUAUUAAAAAAUUUUGGACUAUUGAGUACUAAAAAAAUUUAUAACUUGUUUAAUUUUUUUGUUGACAAUGACAUGGUUGUUAUUUUGUCGUGUUAUCUUGCUAACUUGUCUCCAUGUGUUAAAAAAUUGAAGGUUUUGUACUUAUUAUAAAACAAUAUUGCAGCUAAAGAAAAAAUGACAGGUAACUUUCAUUGUUUUCAUUGAAAACAUGUUCAAGGGACUUCGUAGUCACCACAGUCCCUUGGUCGCUCUAGGUGUGACGUGGAAGCCAUUGAGGAGCAUGAUAAUCUUGUUAUCCAAUACAUUUUCAAUAAAAGCAAUCAAAGUCACUUGUCAUUAACGACAAUAUCAUUUUAAAUUAACUUCUAAACCUCAUAUUUCUUAACAUAUGGAGACAAGUAAUGAUGGACAAAAUAACAGUAAUGUCACCCAAUUAAUGGAAAAAUUAAAAGGCACGGACUCAAUUCAAAAAUAUAAAAAAGAUUGUACUCAAUUAAAUAAAAAAGUUUAAUAGGGACUCAAUUGAAAAUACCCAAAUUUAUGAGGAACUUAAAACUUAAUUAAACAUUUUUUCUUUAAAAGUUUUACCCUAGAAAACAUCAUAAUGAAACCUUGACAUCCCAACUAGACUGACACAUCACAACUCCAUCAAUAAUGUCUGUGAAAAAUCAAGUCAAAACACACAAGGUAGAGUUGAAUUCACAAAUAUCUCUGAUGAUAUGCAAUAAUACGAUAGUUUUAAACAUGAAAGACGAUUUGUCAAAAACUUUCAAAACUAAGUUCAGAAACUUCUUAGGGUAGUGCAAUUUAGUAACAUGCAAUUUUAACAUGAUAAGGAAUGAAGAAAUUAAUCAGAGAUUUUUGUAUUGUUUCGUCUAAUAGUUUAGACUACAUUUAAUUCUUAAUCAACAAAUUAAGUUGCACUAUGCAAACUAACGUUGCAAGUUACAACACCAAUAUUUUUUUGGCUCGCAACCACUCCUAGAUAACCCGUUAAGUAUUGUUUCAAAAUGUAACCAUUCCUAGCUAACUUGUUAUGUAUUGUUUAAACACUUAGCCACUUAUGACUAAAAACCCGAGUUUUGUUUUGGAUUGUAUAACAAAUAGUCACUCCUGGCUACGACAAUAUUUGUGUAAGAUGUGAUAAAAAAAUAUCACAAAGGGUUCGCUCAUUGGAGAGGGUGACAUCUUUCAAUGUAUACAAAGUUCAAGCUCUCUUUUCUAGUUUGCUAAUGAACAGAAAAGUGUUCACCUAAAGCUUUUAAGGCAUAUACAUUUUAACAACAUUUUGGCACUCUGCAAAUCAUAACUCUUAUGCUUUUCUUCUUGAAGGAUAACUUUAUAUAGGCAUUGAAGAAAAGAGUUGUUGCAAAUCUUUUUCUAACCAUUGAGCAGCUUCAGCUUUUAUGAAUGUUUACCUUAUGUCUGGGAAGCUUGAACAUAGAGGAUGCAUUGAAUGCACUCCAUGCAUGCAUUAAAUCUCUUCUCAUCUUGAAGCAACAUCCCAAUAGCUGGAAGAAUUUAUCAUUCUUUGGUCAAAGUGCCUUAACUCGAAAUUGUGUAAAGCACUAACAAUAGCUGACUCGAAACUGGACAGGCUAGAUAGUCUUUUUAGUGUUAACAAAGCAAGCAUUAGGGAGUUAUUAAAGCACAACAACUUUAGCUCAUGUUUCAAGAAAUUGUUGAUAUAACAUAAGCUUUUAUGAAUCUUCUUGAUAGACAAAUGAAGCGAACAUUCUCUGCAAAAUAAAAUAAGCAUAAACAAAAUGUUACUAGAUUAACUUAUAAUAUUUUAAUUGGGCCGGUAUGACAUUGCCCAAUUUAAUUGAGGGUUUUCUACAGUUAUUAGGUUUAGUCACAACAAUUGGUUGUUGUUAUUGGAUUAGAUUGUAGCAUUUUAUUUGGACCAGGUAUGAUAUGGCCCAAUUCUUCUUAGAUUUUUGUUGUUGCAAUUUUUGGUUUUUAGCCGACCAUAAGCCAUGUUGCCAGUUGUAUGGAUUAUUGUUAAUAUUUUAAUUGGGUCAGGUAUUAUGUGGCCAAUUCAUUUUAGGUCAGCUAUGUUAUUGUUAGUGUUCCUCACUCACACACAACAUCACUGUCGUCGCCGCACACACCGGUACUACGCACCACUGCCGCAAAUUGUCAUCGAAACUGUGUCGUCGUUGUUCACUCUCAUCAGACCUUGCGCCGCCGCAACAAGCCUCAUUCUUUCCGCCUUUUUCGCUAUCUCCGUUCACCGUUAGCAUCUGGUGAUGCAAAAAGCGGCCAUCAUGGGCCGCCAUGAAAAACCCACAUCGCCACCGCCACGUUGUGACAAUGACUAGAAAGUCCUCCACCGCUUUCCACCAUGGCGAUGCCAUAACCAAUUAUUGAUAACACUGAUUGUAAAGCAAAACAUUUCGUCUUACAAACGAAGUCUAGUCAUGUUUUAUACUUUGUUGUUUAAUAGCACUUAAUCAAAAUCUGGAUUGUUGGAUUUUUCUUUAACAAUGUGACACCAAAGUAAAAAAUGCAUUGGAAAACAAAAGAGAGAAAACAUAAUACAUGAAAUCAUGGGGGGUCAAACCAAACUCAUAUAUGGGACAAACAAGCCUAAUCAAACAAAUAUAUAUUUCUGAAACCCAAACCGAUCUCUAGAAAAAAUAAUGUCUAAUACAAUCGGGCAUCCUAUAUCAUACCUAAUAAAAUCACUUUUGGAGUCUAUCCCUAAACUAGAAAGUCUAUCAACACAUUUAUCUCCUUCUCUAAAGAUGUGUGACACCUUAAAGUUAAUAACUUUGUUCAUAGCAGCGCAGCAAGUCCAUCUAACUCUAAAGGACCACAACACAAUAGAGGUGUUCUUCAAAGCAGCAACCACAAGAGUGGAAUCAUAUUCCAACUAUAAAGAAGUCCAACCUCUAGCAACCACAAUCUUAUUAGCAAUAAUAGCACCCAUCAAUUUGGCUUCCUAAACCAUAACUAUACCAAUUAAGGAAGCAAAAACAUCAAUGUAUUUCACUUGCAUGUCACAAAAAAUAUCACUACAAGCAGCAAGACCAAGAGCCCCUUUAGCUACAUCAUCAAUGUUGCAUUUAACGUAACCCACAACAGACCUUUCCAGAACAUUGCUAUAAUUUUUGGAACUUUCGUGGUAUGACCACCAAUAUUAAAGUAUCUCAAUAUAGUAAGAUCGUCCACACAAUUGUGCAUGACAUAUUUUGAUAUACAACCAACUAAACCACAACAAGCAAUAUUCAUACUUGUGGGGAAAGUUAUAUUUACACCUACUUGCAUCUUGGUACCAAUUUUCUGAAGAAGACAAAUGAAUGAGAGAUAAUAACUUCAAAUCUAUCUUUAGAAACUAGGAUUAGGUACGUUAAAAACCAAGGUAGAUAAGCAUUUAUUCUUAGAAAUUAUGGUUCCUCUGGAUACAAGGAUUAAAAGAAAGGUUGGGAGAAAACAAUAGAUUUCGCAAUCAUCAUGAUUACAUAUUUUUUAUAUUCUUUAUCAUGACAAAGGUAUAAGUAAUUUAAAUAAACCAACAAAACUUUGGCUCUUCCAUUCAGAUUUUAACUUCCCAGAUAUUUCAAGGCUACUUUUUAAAAUAUUUCCUAUUUCUUGGUAGGACGGCAGCAGAAUAGAGCAAUCCCCUCAUUCCAACAUGUGCUAAAAUCCCACAUCUUUCUUCCUCUCAUUUUCAAUCCCUAUCUAACAAGUAGUGCAAAAUCAAGACACAAUUAUCAAAGAGUGAAGAAAAGUGAGCACACUACAAAAUCAACAUCAAUUAGACUCAAAACAACUAGCUCAAGUUGUUCACCACAAAAUACUACGUUCUAGAGUGCAACGCUUCAACAGCACAAAGACUCUAAGAACACAGCUACCAAAAAUUGAAAAUGACAACCCCAAUUUUUAACUAAUAACAAAAUCAAAACCUUUUUGGUGGGUCAUGUUUAUUUUGACCCAAAGUUGUCGUCUUUGGCAAUCACUGAGACGGAGAAGAGAAGGGUUACCAAACAAAGAUGAAGAAGCCAUUUGUCGGCAUUGACUGAGAAAAUUGGUUGUGCUUCAAAUUGCAAUGUUGAAGAGUACAAAGCUUUGAGCUUAAACGUGCCAGUGCACCAUCAACAUCGUCACUGUUUGUCUCCCAAAGGCGUUUGCUCAAUCACCAUCACGCCCUACCCACCUCAAGGAACCUCGCCACGUCCCUUCCGUGUCAUUGAAAAAAGAAAUUGAAGUCUAAC